rnacentral:rRNA from 1 species
ACUCCUGCGGGAGGCAGCAGUGGGGAAUUUUGGACAAUGGGCGAAAGCCUGAUCCAGCCAUGCCGCGUGCAGGAUGAAGGCCUUCGGGUUGUAAACUGCUUUUGUACGGAACGAAACGGCCUUUUCUAAUAAAGAGGGCUAAUGACGGUACCGUAAGAAUAAGCACCGGCUAACUACGUGCCAGCAGCCGCGGUAAUACGUAGGGUGCAAGCGUUAAUCGGAAUUACUGGGCGUAAAGCGUGCGCAGGCGGUUAUGUAAGACAGUUGUGAAAUCCCCGGGCUCAACCUGGGAACUGCAUCUGUGACUGCAUAGCUAGAGUACGGUAGAGGGGGAUGGAAUUCCGCGUGUAGCAGUGAAAUGCGUAGAUAUGCGGAGGAACACCGAUGGCGAAGGCAAUCCCCUGGACCUGUACUGACGCUCAUGCACGAAAGCGUGGGGAGCAAACAGGAUUAGAAACCCGGGUAGUCCCAUG